CACAAGAUUGGUUACAGUCAUCACUCCAAUCUGAUGCAACAGUAAGUCUCGUUCAAAUAUUAGAGAAAACUGAGUUUAUGAAUUUGCUUGCAGAAGAGAUCCGCAAAUCAGCAGGGCAACGUCAUGAUAUUGAUCUGGGAGGAUGGAUGAACAAGAUAUGACUUUGGAAUUUGAAUUGCUAUGUUGAUUUUGUGUUUGAAUU